UCAAGUAUUUUACAAAAAAAAAGUAAAUUUUUUAUUUUUAUUUUUUUAAUAAAAAUAGACGUUGCCGAGGAGAUGAGGUGGCUCAGGACCACGACAAGUGUAAAUUUCGGACUUUUUUCGAAAAUAAUCCUGUAAAAUUUCGUAUUUGCCAAACUAAUCCUGUGAAAUUUUUAUUUGUGAAACUAAACCUCCUCUCGCCACGUGGGCGCCACGUCAGGGAUUCCUCAAAAAGACGGUGAAUCGUUCACCGUCUUUGAUAUUUGUUGUGAAGACAAUGAAUGGUUCACCGUCUUCAUAAAACGGUAAACCAUUCACCGUCUUUAGUACAAAUUCCUACACUACGCAAAACUUUCCAAGUCCAUCCAUAAUAUGGCGUCCUUGAUAAGACGGUGAAUCGUUCCCCGUCUUCUCGAGGGCACAGAAAAGGCGGACUUUAGAGGGUGGAAAGGGAAAGGGGCGGAAAGGGAAAUUUUGCACUAAAGGCGGUGAAUGGUUUACCGUUUUCUAAAGACGAUGAACCAUUCACCGCUUUUAAACAAAAAUUACAAAUACGGUGAACGAUUCACCGUCUUUUUGAAGAAUCCCUGACGUGGCGCCCACGUGGCGAAAGGAGGAUUAGUUUUACAAAUAAAAAUUUCACGGGGUUAGUUUGGCAAAUACGAACAUUCACAGGGUUAUUUUCGAAAAAAGUCCGUAAAUUUCUUACAAUCUCA
rnacentral:lncRNA from 1 species